rnacentral:rRNA from 1 species
GCAAUGGACGAAAGUCUGACCGAGCAACGCCGCGUGAGUGAAGAAGGUUUUCGGAUCGUAAAGCUCUGUUGUAAGUCAAGAACGUGUGUGAGAGUGGAAAGUUCACACAGUGACGGUAGCUUACCAGAAAGGGACGGCUAACUACGUGCCAGCAGCCGCGGUAAUACGUAGGUCCCGAGCGUUGUCCGGAUUUAUUGGGCGUAAAGGGAGCGCAGGCGGUCAGGAAAGUCUGGAGUAAAAGGCUAUGGCUCAACCAUAGUGUGCUCUGGAAACUGUCUGACUUGAGUGCAGAAGGGGAGAGUGGAAUUCCAUGUGUAGCGGUGAAAUGCGUAGAUAUAUGGAGGAACACCAGUGGCGAAAGCGGCUCUCUGGUCUGUCACUGACGCUGAGGCUCGAAAGCGUGGGUAGCGAACAGGAUUAGAUACCCUGGUAGUCCACGCCGUAAACGAUGAGUGCUAGGUGUUAGGCCCUUUCCGGGGCUUAGUGCCGGAGCUAACGCAAUAAGCACUCCGCCUGGGGAGUACGACCGCAAGGUUGAAACUCAAAGGAAUUGACGGGGGCCCGCACAAGCGGUGGAGCAUGUGGUUUAAUUCGAAGCAACGCGAAGAACCUUA